UCUCAUUACUUUUUAUACCACUUGAGCAACAACAUACUCAAUAUAAUUUCAUACGUGGAGCCGGAGGCCUAGGGCGUGGGGAGUGAGGAGGGUGGUGCGUAAGCAACCUUAUUUCCUACCUUGUGAAGUUAGAGAGAAAUUGAUGGUAUAGGCUUAAAAUGAUUUGGAAAUUUCUAUGGAACAUCAUAUUGGCCUAUCUUGAUGAAGCGCAAGGCUAAGGAAUGCUUUCUCGACUUGCCAAAUGGAAGGAAGGAUAGGAGUUUAAUUUCACAGCAUUUAACAACAAGCUCAUUGGAGCGAGAGACUUUUCUGCGUUCAAUGGUGGAACACUAUUAGAUGAGAGAGGGCAUGGUGCACAUACUCCAAAUACUUUUGAUAGUGUUGCUGACAUUUCACCUCUUGCUUAUUUUAAUAUGUAAACAAAUUUUGCAACUCAAGUUGCUUGCGUUCGGAAAGUGACAUGUUAUUAUAUGUGGUAGAUCCACAAUUGAA